UACGAAGGGUGCAAGCGUUACUCGGAAUUACUGGGCGUAAAGCGUGCGUAGGUGGUUUUGCAAGUCGAGUGUGAAAGCCCCGGGCUCAACCUGGGAACUGCAUUCGAGACUGCAUUACUAGAGUAUGGGAGAGGGCAGUGGAAUUUCCGGUGUAGCGGUGAAAUGCGUAGAUAUCCGGAGGAACACCGGUGGCGAAGGCGACUUUCUGGUCUGUAACUGACGCUGAGGCGCGAAAGCGUGGGAAGCAAACAGG
rnacentral:rRNA from 1 species